rnacentral:lncRNA from 1 species
GGUUUCAAAGAUUUAGAAAAAUGGCAAAUGGGUACGAAGAAAUGAAUUUAUUCAUACACACUAAAGAAAACACAUUUUUCGAAUGUAGUCAUACAGAAUGUGUUUUCUUUAGUGUGUAUGAAUAAAUGCAAUCUCUGUAUGACUACACUAAAGAAAACACAUCUUUCGAAUCUUAUAAGAUUUGGGCGUUCCUCCCCCUUUGAGCUAGCUUUUGGGGUGUGAUAGGCCUAAGACCUAAUUUCACAUUGUAUUAGAGCCUCUAUGAUCUUAGUAAAGAAUCAAAAAUUCUUCAUGGGCGAUUAUAACCAAUAUAUGUCGCACGUCUGAUCGAUGAUCAUGUUAGCAAAAGUUGAGUCAUCAUGCUUCUUUCCAGUGCCUCCUCAUAUCUAAUUUACGUAGCACCGGUAACUUUCCGGUGACUACUUUCUCAUACCAAAUUUCCGUAGCACCGUGCAUCUUUUCGGUGACUACUUUCCUAUAUCUAAUUUGCAUAGCACCGUGCAUCUUUCCGGUGACUACUUUCUCAUAUCUGAUUUGCGUAUCACCGUGCAUCUUUCCAAACUAUAUUCUCAUAUCCAAGUUGAGUAGCAUCGUGUGCCAUUUCAGUGACUCCUCAAAUCUAAUUUGCAUAGGGUCGUGCCAUCAUUCCGAUCCUACCAUAAAAUUUGUCUUUUUCAGUAGGGCCGUGCAUCAUUCUGAUCCUACAAAUAUAAUUUAUCUUUUCCAGUAGGAUCAUGCCAGCAUUCUGGUCCUACCCAUAUAAUUUUAUGAUCUAGAAUAGUCUCCUCAAGCCUGGUUUGGAAAGUUCAAGAAUUUCUCUUUUUCAGCAUGGUCAUGCCAUCAUUCCGACACUACCCAUAUAAUUUCUCUUUUCCAGUAGGGUCAUGCCAUCAUUCCGACCUACCCAUAUAAUUUCUCAGAUUUUGACCAUUUCUCAGCCGUCAAAUCGAAUAAUCCGGCGCAUGAAGAUGAUCCGACCAAUUUUUAGGUGACUUUCUUGUUCAAGAUCUACCCAUAUCUUGAUUUCAAAAUGAUCCAUAUAUUCUAUACCAGUUUUCGGCAAUUUUCCAGUGACAAAUCUACUUCCCAGUGACGUUUACGACUUUC